ensembl:lncRNA
GUUGCUGUGGCUCAUAUCAGCUUCCAGAAACACCCGGCCCUGAGAGGCCCAGCACUGCCCCCCUCCCUGGCACGCUGGCCUCUCUACCAGGUAGGGGGGUCCUGCUCGCUCUGUCCACCGCGUCCUGCAGGCCACACACAUUUUGGCCAUGGCCGAUAGUUUCUAACAGGCCAUGGUCCCACAUCAUGGGGUGCUGGGGGCUGGUGACCUCUGCUACAAAUGAACCAGAAUGCUUAGCCCAUGAUUCAAGGAUCUACCACCACAGUCAAGAUAUUCAACAGUUCCAACAACACAAAGGUGCUCCCUUUCAUAAUCAUACCCUCCUCCCUUCCAUCCUUAACCCCUGGCAACCUCCUGUGUCACCCAUUUCUAAAACUGUCAAUUCAGAAAUGUUAUGUAGGUGUCUUGCUGGGAGAUGGUGUAC